CACCCCUCACAAGUGCCUCAUUCAAGGGCCCUACUUAGCCUUGUACUGCAGAGUGCCCAAAACGAAAACGUUUCCCCCAAGUGGGUUAAUCUCAUAAGAGCAGACAUUAUUCUGUGAGAGUAGGACCUGCCAAAGAUGUGGUACAUUGACAUUGUGGCAGGCUUAUGCAAUGUAUGAUCAUAUAAUGUAACUAAACCCCCAUUAUUUU